UAGGGGGAAGGCGAGCGA
rnacentral:rRNA from 1 species